UACGUAGGGCGCAAGCGUUGUCCGGAAUUAUUGGGCGUAAAGAGCUCGUAGGCGGUUUGUCGCGUCUGCUGUGAAAACCUAAGGCUCAACCUUGGGCUUGCAGUGGGUACGGGCAGAUCUAGAGUGCGGUAGGGGUGACUGGAAUUCCUGGUGAUAGCGGUGGAAUGCGCAGAUAUCAGGAGGAACACCGAGUCGGCGAAGGCAGG
rnacentral:rRNA from 1 species